rnacentral:rRNA from 1 species
GAGUUUGAUCCUGGCUCAGAGCGAACGCUGGCGGCAGGCCUAACACAUGCAAGUCGAGCGGAUGUAGCAAUACAUCAGCGGCAGACGGGAUAGUAACACGUGGGAACGUGCCCUUUGGUUCGGAAUAACUCGGCGAAAGCCGUGCUAACUACCGGAUAAGCCCUUACGGGGAAAGAUUUAUCGCCAUUGGAGCGGCCCGCGUCUGAUUAGCUAGUUGGUGAGGUAAUGGCUCACCAAGGCGACGAUCAGUAGCUGGUCUGAGAGGAUGAUCAGCAUCACUGGGACUGAGACACGGCCCAGACUCCUACGGGAGGCAGCAGUGGGGAAUAUUGGACAAUGGGCGCAAGCCUGAUCCAGCCAUGCCGCGUGGAUGAUGAAGGCCUUAGGGUUGUAAAGUCCUUUUAACGGGGAAGAUAAUGACGGUACCCGUAGAAUAAGCCCGGCUAACUUCGUGCC